rnacentral:tRNA from 1 species
UAUGGCAGAACAGUGCAAUGAACUUAAGAUUCAACCAUGAGNUUUAUAAUACUCUAUUAGAAA